UACAGAGGGUGCGAGCGUUGUCCGGAAUCACUGGGCGUAAAGGGCGCGUAGGUGGCGACCCAAGUCUGUGGUGAAAGCUCGACGCUCAACGUCGAGUCGGCCAUAGAUACUGGGUUGCUUGAGCACUGUAGAGGCAGAUGGAAUUCCGGGUGUAGCGGUGGAAUGCGUAGAUAUCUGGAGGAACACCGGUGGCGAAGGCGGCAUCCUGGACCGGCAUUGACGCUGAGGCGCGAAAG
rnacentral:rRNA from 1 species